UCAGUGGAGAUUCAACCUUCUCUAAGCCAUCUUCUUCUCCAUCUCCAGCCACCAUGAAAGAGGAGCCCUCACACCAUUUGAGAAGAGAGAUUAAAGCUCAUUAGACACGUUUAUGGAGAAGUGAAGAACGAUCGAUCAAAACUGAGUAUUUCGAAUCCAACUUUUGAGAUCGGAUCCGCCGAUAGUCAAUUUCAUCGGUGUUUUCCCGUUGAUCUAGAAGAACCAGCAAACGAGCGAGAUAUCAUCAGAAAGAUCUCGUUGUCAGCUUUCCUUAUCAUCUUCCCGAUCGUAAAACCAAGGCACGGUUGGAAAGUUAUCGACUUUGCUUCUUGGCCAAGGAUAAGCUGAAGCUUUAGUGAUGCAGAUACAGUUCCGACCAGUCUCAGCAUAAAGGCCAAACGGCCGACCUAAAUGAAAGAUUUCAAUCUGGAAAUUUGUUAGUAAGUAGUUCACUCUUUUAUCUAUCGUCUCCAAGAAGCGGAUUGUCAUUUAGAGUAAUUUUCUGAAAGUUGUGUUUGUUUUCGCGAGAGGUAUUACUGCAGUCUUCGUUUGCGACCAGCCUGGAGGAGAAGUUAAUUUGGUUAAUCAAAUAGUGUCCAUGGACAGAGGACAUCUAGGACUACAUUCUGACCGUACGGAUUGAAAAGUUAACGAGAGUUCCGGAGUUGCUGUUUCAAAGUCGUCAAUGUUCAUUAUGUGUUUUCUCAGGUUAUCUUUAGAACCCGUGGCAAAGGUGAGGUAGCCGAGCAGGAGUGAUUGCUUUCGGAUUGGUGCUUUGGGAGUUUUAUUCUUAUUUUCAGACUUCGGUUUUAUGCUUUUAUCGAUAUUUUCCGGGAUUUAUUUUAUUUAUGCUAUUAUUGGAUUAUGGUUUUGAGUUUGACUUUUGAGAAUUAAUAAAUAGAGACUUUUAUGAGAUUAUUAUUUAUUAUAUUAUUUUAGAAAAUCGGAGUAUUACAAACAUAUACAACAUUUUAUU